GACGGAGAGAUUUUCUCAUUGGCCAUUUCACUUUUUAAAAUAAAACAAUUUAAUAAAGCACAAAGUAUAUAAAAUUAACCUCAAACAAAAUGAGUAUAACAUAAUAAUAUAAUAAUAAUAACAACAACAACAAAAACAACGACAAUAAUAACAAUUAACAAGACUAUUGUAAUAAUAAAAUAAUAAUAACCAAAGUGUAACAACAUGAUUGAAACGUAAUGCAACAAAAAUAGCUAAAUAAUGCCAAGUCACCAUGAAGAAUAUUGAAUCACAGAAAAAUACUACCAACACAAUAAAUAAAAUUGAAUCAACUUAACCUAAACAUAUAUAACAGUAAGCAAAUCAACAACCAUUGAGGAUAAAGAGCUAAACAAACAUAAGUAUUAAUCAAUAUUUAAAAUAAAACUAAACCCUUAUAAUCUAAACUUAUAUGAAACCAACAAAGAAAAUAAUAUAAGACAAAAGCAAUAAUAAAAGUAACAAAACAUCAAAAUAAUAACUAAAUAAUAAUUGACAUAUCAAUAUAGCUUACGGUAAAUAAAGGACAAUCAAAAUACGGACAAAGUUAAAACGGCUAUAAAUGAAUGAAACAGAUAAUAAAAUAAAACUGAAUUUAAACACUCAAAUGCCACAAAGCAAUAAGCAAAACUAAUCAACUUAAUUGAAAAAUAAAUAUAGACAAUAGAUUAGAAAGGAUAAAACCACCAAACGCGAUAAUUAGAUCUGAAAAUUUACCAGUGAGCUUGAGCUAGCCUCUGAGGUUGUUGGUGGUCUGGUGGUUUUUUGGUGGCGUGGAGAAGGUGGUGGUUUGCUACUGAUUUGGUGGAGAAACAGUGAAAGAAAUGAGAGCUGUUUGGCCGGAAAAAAGGUGAUAAACGAAGGUGGGUUUUGGAUCGGGUUUGGCUGAUUUUUGGUUGUGUUGUUGGUCGAUUUUGUUGGCUGUUUCAGCUACUGUUUGAUGGCUGUUUCAGCUGCAAUUUCGUCGCAGCGAAAAGGGAAGAGGAGGAAGAACGGCUAGGGUGUUUUGGUGGUGUGAGGUGCUGCUGUUUGUGAUGGUUCCGAUGGCAUAUUGGUGGUGUUGGGCUGGUGGGUUGCCGAAAAAGGAAGGAGUAAUGGGUGUGUGUUUGUUCACUGGUUUUGGUUGUUGUUGCACCAAUGGUGGAGAUGGGGUNNNN
rnacentral:lncRNA from 1 species